rfam:Felis catus isolate Cinnamon breed Abyssinian chromosome D3, whole genome shotgun sequence.
GCCUGGGUGGCUCAGUCAGUUAAGCGUCUGACUUCAGCUCAGGUCAUGAUCUCAAAGUUUGUGGGUUUGAACCCUGCAUCAGGCU